rnacentral:rRNA from 1 species
UGGGGAAUAUUGGACAAUGGGCGCAAGCCUGAUCCAGCCAUGCCGCGUGUGUGAAGAAGGCCUUAUGGUUGUAAAGCACUUUAAGCGAGGAGGAGGCUACUUUAGUUAAUACCUAGAGAUAGUGGACGUUACUCGCAGAAUAAGCACCGGCUAACUCUGUGCCAGCAGCCGCGGUAAUACAGAGGGUGCGAGCGUUAAUCGGAUUUACUGGGCGUAAAGCGUGCGUAGGCGGCUGAUUAAGUCGGAUGUGAAAUCCCUGAGCUUAACUUAGGAAUUGCAUUCGAUACUGGUCAGCUAGAGUAUGGGAGAGGAUGGUAGAAUUCCAGGUGUAGCGGUGAAAUGCGUAGAGAUCUGGAGGAAUACCGAUGGCGAAGGCAGCCAUCUGGCCUAAUACUGACGCUGAGGUACGAAAGCAUGGGGAGCAAACAGG